CCUGGUCUGAGGAAGCUGCAUCUGCAUUUGGUUCCUCAGCUGCCAUCACCACAGUUGAGAAAGCCUAGAAAGGGAAAAGCAGCACAGAUUUAUUCAGGUUUAUUCCAGUUUUAUAUCCAGACAGAUAGAUCUGCAUAUAAAACAGUGACCUCUGAGCUGAAGGCCAUCAUUCAGGGGGAAUAAGAUCUUGGAAGGAGAACUCCAGAAGUGUGUCAGUUCAGCAGCAAUCAAAGAGCAAGCAAGGUUACACAUUACCAUGGCAGGAAUAUACAAUGCAAGACAUCAUUCUCUGAACUCCUGUGCCUGCAUUUUAGAUCUCAAAUGGUUCUGGUUCCUGACCCAUUCUCAGAGAAACUACAGAACUGAAAAAAUAUUCUCAAGAUUCCCUGGGAGAAGAAGCCAAUCCCCACCUGGCUCCAGCCUCCUUUCAGACAGCUGUAGAGAGUGGUCAGGACAGUUAACCAAGAGAGCAUGCAGCUUCCAGAGCAACUGCACACCCCCGGAACUCGUCUGCAGCAGCACCUGAGAGAUCCCAGCCUCCCCUGUGGUAGCUGGGCCGAGGCUCUGCAGAGCAGUGGAGGGAGCUGGGAGGGAGCUGCAGCUGCCAGCAGGGAAACCUCAGCUCUGAGGCUGCAGCACACAUGUGGUCCCCAGAGGAAACACCCGGGCUGACAAGCAGGAAGCUGCCCCACAAUGAGCAGCCAGCUGUGGAUCCACCUGUACAGCACAAAGGUGCUGCUCCCAAAAGAACAGAACAGGAGUGGGAGCAACCCAGAACACAGCUGAUGAGGAAUUGCUGCUGCCUGACCCUGCCCCAGGGUAGAGAGAGGACACAGCACACCUUGCUCUGGAAUCAAUGCUGUUAUCCCAAGGACCAAAUCCUUUCCCUGAUGUGGGAGCUGGUAUCCCAAGUUUCAGCUUGCUCAGUUUUCAAGGGAUCAGUGAAACUAGAAUUAUGCUGGGUUUGAUGCAGGCUUUUUUUGGGUUCUCUUCUACCCCCAGCCUGAUAAAUAUGACCCUUGGUUCACACUUUGCUAAAUAACUAACUGGACUCCUGUAAGCAGUGCAUCACAAAUUAAUUAUUCACUGGUACUCUACUGAAGCACUUCUCUGUCCUGGCCUUCUUCUCCACUUUUGGAGAACUUUGCUCUGGUCACAGUGCAGAAAAACACAAACCAUGUAGAAGUCAUAGACAGAAAAUAUUUGACUCACUUGGAUUAAAAUGCUAAGCAAGGUACUCAGCCAAUACUGCUACUGUUAGAAGCUAUGCCAAAACUUCACAAUCUUCUCAGAAAAUGUGGAAAUAUGUUAAAGCAUGUCCAAGUACAAAGUACAGGAUGACAAAGGGCUUUAAAUCUUGUCAACUCAUCAAAGAGAACAGACUACUUAUUAAAGACAUCAGUAGUUACAUUUUCUUGGCUGUCCUAGUCUAUGUGUUUACAGGUUUUCUAAAAAUAUAAAUUACUGAGGUUCAUAUUAGCUUUCUUUAAUGGUAACUUGCUAACUACUGUUCUCACAAAUAAGCUCUGUAAAUGCUUUUAGUAAUAACUCCUGCACACAGCGAAACUGAUAACCCUCAUUCAAAUCGAGGACAGAGCCAGCAAACCCAAUACAAAUCAGAUUUCAAUACAAAUGUAGAUUUCAAAGGCUGAUCUUUAUCAGCCUUUACAGUUCCUGGUAGCGUUAGCUUUGAUCCAAUAGUGCAUUACUCUGAUACAGCCACAACCAAUUUUCUUCAAAAUUAUGAUGCAUUUUUUAGGAAAAAUGUUAGGCAAUAAGAACAAGUUCAAGCAACUUCUAUAAUCAAGUAAAAAGAAAUGUAUGUUCACCCCUUUUCCAAAUCCUAGUGUAUUUCUUUCUUUUGGUCAUCCUUUCAGUUUGACUUAUGAAAGAAGUGGAGAACAGUCUGCUUUUCUCUUACAGAAAAGGACAGGGUUAAGCUGAUCCUUUUCUUGGACUCAGAAAACAUAGGAUAUCAAUGUACAACAAGGAUUAAAAUAAAAUUAUAGAGGAAAGCAAA